AGCCGCGGUAAAACGUAGGACACGAGCGUUAUCCGGAGUUACUGGGCGUAAAGGGCGGGUAGGCGGCGAUGUAAGACUGGUGUGAAAGCCUUCGGCUUAACCGAGGGAGGACACUGGUGACUGCAUGGCUCGAGGCAGAUAGAGGGGUGUAGAAUUCCGGGUGUAGUGGUGAAAUGCGUAGAGAUCCGGAGGAAUACCAGAGGCGAAGGCGGCACCCUGGGUCUGACCUGACGCUGAUCCGCGACAGCAUGGGGAGCGAAC
rnacentral:rRNA from 1 species